rnacentral:rRNA from 1 species
AGCAGCCGCGGUAAUUCCAGCUCCAAUAGCGUAUAUUAAAGUUGUUGCAGUUAAAAAGCUCGUAGUUGAAUUUCGGGGUUAGCAAGUUGGUCGUGCCUUUGGUAUGCACUGGCUUUGCUGAUUCCUCCUUCUUGAAGAACUGUGAUGCUAUUAAUUUGGUGUUGCGGGGAAACAGGACUGUUACUUUGAAAAAAUUAGAGUGUUUAAAGCAGGCUAACGCUUGAAUACAUUAGCAUGGAAUAAUGAAAUAGGACGUUUGAUCCUAUUUUGUUGGUUUCUAGGAUUGACGUAAUGAUUAAUAGGGAUAGUUGGGGGCAUUAGUAUUCAAUUGUCAGAGGUGAAAUUCUUGGAUUUAUUGAAGACUAACUACUGCGAAAGCAUUUGCCAAGGAUGUUUUCAUUAAUCAAGAACGAAAGUUAGGGGAUCGAAGACGAUCAGAUACCGUCGUAGUCUUAACCAUAGACUAUGCCGACUAGGGAUCGGAUGAUGUUAAUUUUUUAAUGUACUCAUUCGGCGUACC